ACAGCACUCACCUGUCCCCUGCAGUGGUCCUCUGGGGACCAUUGCGUCCCUCUCCUGGAGCCGUUUCCCCAGCAGGCCGGGAAGUGAGGACCCUGCGAGCAGCCUGCGUGCAGCUUCUACUGGAGUCUGUGAGUGUGCUGCUCUUGUCCCAGCUGGACCAGAGGCCGAUGCAAGAGGAUCAACUCUGCUGCCCUUGAGUUUGAGGCCAGCCUGUGCAGCACAGCAAGACCCGCCCUAAAAUGGAUCAUGGAUGUGUUAACAUUUGUCAGAAGAAUUUGGAUCAUCUCAUCUUGGAAGAUGGCAGAGAGCAACCCACCCGUCUUCCUGGUAAGCAGCUAUUGCGCAAGCAAGCUUGGGCCGAGCCAGGAAGAGAACAAGUCAGUGUCCCCCAUGAGCCUGCAUUGUCUGAGAAUGAAACAUCCCACUCGCCCCCCUCCUUUAGCAACUCGGAGCCAGAGGCCUGAGCAGCCCUUGAGAGGAUGACCACAUGCAAUAUAGCAAACACGGGGGAUUUCCUUCUGUCUUCCCUUUGAAGGCAAAUAGUUUUCACUGUUUUGCUUUGUUCUGAUUAACUGUUUUGCUCUAUUCUGUUUUGAUAGGUUUUAUAAUGUUCUGUUUUUGAUUUGAUUUUGCUGUACCUGACUGAAUGGACAACUGUUGUGAAGAUAAUGAGAUAUAUUAUGGUUCCUAUUACCGUUAUCCUGGUAACCUGCUGUGAAGUUCUGUACCAAUUUCAAUGCAUUGUUGCCAUUGGCUCUGUUUUGUCUUGUUGUAUUUUACUACCUUCAAAAUAAAAAUAAAAAUAAAAUAAAAUAGA